CCAGCGAUGGCUUCAGGGGUGAUAUUUCCAAUAUAUAUCAGCCCUGGGCACUCUCGCCCUGCUGCUCACAGCAUGGUCCUCACACCAGCAGCCUCCGCCUUACCUGGGAGCUUGUUAGAAAUGCAGGAUCUCCCAGAUCUAUUGAGUUAGAAGCUGUAUUAACAAGAUCCCCAGUGAUUUUUAUGCACAAUCAAGUUUGUGAGGCACCGCUGCAGACUUCUGAGUGCAGGAAUGCGGCAGCCCUGGGUAGGUGUGGUUAGAAGGCCUGGACGGGGAGGCUGUGCGGAGGGGAUGAUGAAAGCAUGGGUGAGGGGAGAAGACCCUAAACAGCUGUCUUUGUUAGUCCCCGCCCACCUGGCCGGGAUGCCAGCAACAAGGCCAUCUGCAGUCUGCCCUGCCCUUCCUCCCCUCAGUGGCUUUGAAGGCAGGUGUCCUUGAAGCUAAGCUCUGCUGGCUGCAGGUAAAACCACAGGUGGGGGAGUUCUCUGAGACCUAGGAGCUGGGGUGUACGGAGAAGCGGGGCCCUGGGGAGCCUCGGAGAUUCCUGGUGGGAAGGCCUGGGCAGAACAGAAGGCUUGUCAAGUCAGAGGGCCACCUCUUCCUCCUCAAUUCUGCCAGAGAAAGCUCCUGUGCUGGGCUCUGAACCCCUUGCAGGGAGGGGUGCAGGUUAUCCCUCUUGGAGCAGGAGGGCUGGGUGCUUGGAAGGAAAACCUAGGAGCUUAGGGGCCCCAGCCUCCCAGGGAGAGCCAGGCCCUCUGGGGUGACACAUUUCUACAGAAGCAGGUGGGAACAUCACAGACGUCCCAGGGCCUGGGGCCCAGGGCUGCCAGGUACAGAAGGGCUGAAGGAGGCUGUCCAGGCCAGGGUGGGCAGUGGCCUGAGCCCGGCAGCUGGCCCUACAGCUCUCUCUCUUCGCUGGUCAGUGUGGCAAUUCUCCGCAGGUUUUCCCUGACUUUAAUAAACUCGGGGGCGUGAUCCUCUUCCUUCUCUGGUGGUUUUUCCAGCUGAAGGAGGGAGAAGCAGAGAGUGAAGUGGGUGGAGCUAGGGGGAUUCCUACUCUGAAAACCUGUGGAGUUUGGACCAAGGGCCCACUCAGUGGGGAAACAGAACCAACCUGGGGAUGAGUUUUGCUAUCAGCCUGGUAGCUGGGGCACAGAGCAUGAGACUGAGUUCUCCUUGUGCAGCCUGGUUCAAAUCACUCACCCCCUCUGGGCCUCAGCUUCCCCAUCUCUAAAAUGGGAAUGCCACCUGGCUCACAAGACAGUUAUAAGAAUGAAAUCAGAAUCAGCAUGCAGUACACUGGGCCAGUGAGGAAGCUGAGGUUCAGGGAAGCCACUCGCCCUAAGGACCUAGCAAAGUGAAUGGCAGAGGGAGGACUCAGGCCAGGAGUGGACUCUUAGUCCAGUGCUCUGUCUGCUGAUCCUCUUCCCUCUUACUAGCUGUGGCCACAGCAGAGCUCCUCCCUGGAGGACAGCCCUGGAGGAUGCGUGGUCCCUGCUGGGUGCCCAUCACCCACCUGGUUCAGCCUCUGCUGCCGUCUCAGCAGCUCCUGCUCAAAGGGGCACUGCAGCCGCUUGGCUUCCAGCUCCUCCUUCUUCUUCUUGAUGAGCUGGUUCCGCCGGCGGUGCUCUAGGACACGCUGCAGCUCUGGCUUGCUGUCCACACCAAGGCCCCUGGGGUGGGAAGUGGGGAGCUGUCAGGAGACCAUCACCUUCCCGCUUCCCCCAGCCUCAGGGCUGCUUCCUGCGGUGACACCAACCCCCAUUAUUAUCUUGUGCAAUCCUCCCUGUAGCCUUGGAGGUGGACCCAUUACUGUCCCAUUUUACAGGGACAGAAACUGAGGCUCCUAGGGCUGAAGAUACCAGUCCAAGACAUAGCUACAGGUAGGCCACAUGAGGAUUUGAACCCAGGCCUGUUUGACUGCAGAGACCAAGUUUUAUGUUAUUUCUGGUUAUUUUCUUAGGAUACUUUCCUAAAGGUAGAAUUGCUGGGUCAGGCUCUUUAAAAAGAUUUGAGGUACAUAUAUCUAUCUGUGCCUGAGAAAGGUUAUCCAGUGUAUCCUCCUCUGAACAGUGUACAAGAGCAUCUAUUUCUCCCCACCAUCACCAGCCAAUCUUUUCAUAUUUGAGAAUCUGGUAGGCCAGAAAGAAUAUCUGCUUUUCAUUUGUUUCUUUAUUAGUCACAUGGAACAACAUUUGAUAUGUUUACCAGCCAUUUGCAUUUCUUCUUUUGUGAAUUAACUGUAUUAUCAAUAUUAUUUUUACAGACAAGGACUUGCUCUGUUGCCCAGGCUGGAGUGCAGUGGUGCAAUCAUAGCUCACUGCAGCCUUGAACUCCUGGGAUCAAGUGAUCCUCCUGCCUCGGCCUCCCAAAGUGUUGGGAUUACAGGUGUGAGCCACCAUGUCUGGCUGUACUGUAUUACUUUUUAUUCAUUUUUUCCUUGUCCAUUGUAAGAGAUCUGGGCCAGGCACAGUGGCUCACGCCUGUAAUCCCAGCACUUUGGGAGGCCGAGGAGGGCGGAUCACGAGGUCAGGAGACCGAGACCAUCCUGGCUAACACAGUGAAACCCUGUCUCUACUAGAAAUACAAAAGAAUUAGCCGAGUGUGGUGGC
rnacentral:lncRNA from 1 species